CCGGGAGUUAUUUGUGUCAGGCGACCUCACUUCCUUCCUCCCCCCUCUUCCUCUGCCUCAGGGGCUGAGCGUGGACGCGGGAGCGCGGCCAGAGGGUUAUUUUAGUGCUGGCAUCGCUGAUCGCUCCACGGCCCUCCCCACCCACGGGACAAGGCCCUGCAGGAAGUGCCCGGGAAUAGCACUGCGGCCCGAGGAGGAGGAGGAGGAGGGGGAGGAGGAAGGCCCAGCGAGCCUGGAAAACCUACCUCGGAGCAGGACUUUGAUCUCUUGGGCUCCACACAGGAGUGCUCCUGGCGCUGGGAUCUCCAGUGGUGUGGGAAAGGGCACACGGCAUUUAUCGGGCAAACACCUUUUUUACCUCUGCCAGCCCACACGGGGCAUUUGGAGGAAUAAGUCACAGGAUAUCAAUACCUUCUUAUUCAUCUAA
rnacentral:lncRNA from 1 species